AACGAACGCUGGCGGCGUGCUUAACACAUGCAAGUCGAACGGAAAGGCCCUGCUUUUGUGGGGUGCUCGAGUGGCGAACGGGUGAGUAACACGUGAGUAACCUGCCCUUGACUUUGGGAUAACUUCAGGAAACUGGGGCUAAUACCGGAUAGGAGCUCCUGCUGCAUGGUGGGGGUUGGAAAGUUUAGGCGGUUGGGGAUGGACUCGCGGGUUAUCAGCUUGUUGGUGAGGUAGUGGCCUACCAAGGCUUUGACGGGUAGCCGGCAUGGGAGGGGAGCCGGCCACAUUGGGCCUGAGAUACGGCGCAGACGCCUACGGGAGGCAGCAGUGGGGAAUAUUGCACAAUGGGCGGAAGCCUGAUGAAGCAGCGCCGCGUGCGGGAUGACGGCCUUCGGGUUGUAAACCGCUUUCGCCUGUGACGAAGCGUGAGUGACGGUAAUGGGUAAAGAAGCACCGGCUAACUACGUG
rnacentral:rRNA from 1 species